rnacentral:rRNA from 1 species
CGGUAAUACAGAGGGUGCAAGCGUUAAUCGGAAUUACUGGGCGUAAAGGGGGCGUAGGUGGCUCGAUAAGUCAGAUGUGAAAUCCCCGGGCUCAACCUGGGAACUGCAUCUGAUACUGUUGAGCUAGAGUAUGUGAGAGGAAGGUAGAAUUCCAGGUGUAGCGGUGAAAUGCGUAGAGAUCUGGAGGAAUACCGAUGGCGAAGGCAGCCUUCUGGCAUAAUACUGACACUGAGGCUCGAAAGCGUGGGUAGCAAACAGGAUUAGAUACCCGGG